rnacentral:lncRNA from 1 species
UAGGCAUUUGCUUUGGUAUGAUCUUCUUUAUUUUAUCCAUCAUUGUUCCCAGUUGGAUAAUUUUUAAGUGCAAGAAAGGGUAAGUACAGCUAUAUUCUCCCAGAAAAUGUAAACUGUAUUUUGCUCCUCUCAGACGUCAAAGGAAAAUUUAAAAAUAAAUAAAUAAAUAAACAAAAAUAAAAACCCAAACAACAAAAGCACUACUACAUAGACAGAUGUGAUAAUUCACAUAAAGAAGGUCCUUGACACAUACAAUAGAAAAGUAUUUAUGCUAUAGGAAAUACAUAUGUUACUAAGAAUAUUUUAAAAAUCAAUAAUACAGUAUUUUGGGUGCAGUGGCACACACCUGUAAUCUAGUGACUUGGGAGGCUGAGGCAGGAAGAUCCCAAGUUCAAGGCCAGCCCGGGCACUUAAUAAGACCCUGUCUCAAAAUAAACAACAACAACAACAAAGAGCUUGGAAUGUAGCUCAGUGGUAGAGCACGCCUAGGAUAAAUUCUUCAGUAUCAGAUUUAAAAAACAGCAUUUUAAGAAAGAAAUGUGAAAGAGAAAAUAAGGAGGUUUUUAAAAAGGUAUUAAUGAGACCAUUGAUGUCCUAGUUUUGCUGGGACAUUGCAGACACUGACAGCUAGACUUAGAUUCUAUUUCUAUCUUUUAACUAAGAGUUAGAUUGUGUUUUUCUCUGGCACACAUAUCCCAGGAUGCCUGCAUGGAAGAAUUGAGAUUUUGCAUUAAGAAAGAAAGAGAGAAAGAAGGAAGGAAGGAAAGAAGGAAGGAAGGGAGGGAGGGAGGGAGGGAGGGAAGGAAAUCUUUUGUAAAAACCAGUGACUUUCUUUAUUGGUGUAUUUUAUAAUUAUACAUUAUAGCAGGAUUCAUUAUGUCCAUAUUUGUGACCACUGAGUUUUUCAACUUGAAGAAAACUUCACAAAGAUUAUGAUCUAAAGAGCAAAACAUUUUUGACUGGGAAGUAAACACACAGCUUUUAUGCUGGCUAUUUUAAUUAAAACAAUAUUAGUGAAAUCUGCCAAUAAGACCAGUGUUGUAAGGUUGAUGAACAAAAAUUCUAUACUGAAGAAAAGCAGAGUUUAAAACUCCAAGUGAGUAGUCUUCUAUAGCAAACGUUCUUAACAAAUGCAGUCUUCUACAACAACCUUUAUAGAAAUUGAAGUUUGAUAUUUCACAGAGAUGCCAAUAAGGCGGUUUUUUUUUUUUUUUUUAAAGUAGAUUGUCACAGUAAAACCAUUUUGCAAACAACCUAGUCAGGAACUCAACUUCAUAAUGAAAUAAUCAGUAUAGAAUUAGAUUUAAGUUAAACUCGUAUUCUUCCUUAGUAAAGGUAUAUUUUGCAGCUUGACCUAUAAGUAUUCUUUGUCCUUUAUUCUUACAAAAAGAAAAAGGGAAGUGGCCUGAUAUUAACAUUCACAGAAGUGCAUUUUUCUAAAUUUCUUAUUAAGCACCCCUAUAAUUUGCAUUAAUUUUUUAUAAAUUUAAGGAAGAAUUAAAGAAGGGAUUAACUUGUAUCACAUUAUUGAUGAUUUGCAAGCCUUCUUAAUCCCCAGCUUUCUCAGAUUCAGAAUAUCUAAUUACUCUGUAUUUGGUUCCUCAUCUGUAUCUUGGGCUGGCUGUGCUCUAUUAACAUUUUCUCUUGUCUCCUAGAUCACCAUACUCCUCACCAUCCUCCCUCUCCAGACUACCCUUGGGGACAGGGACCACCUCUAUUCACAGAAAAUAAUUAUUAUUUAAUGACUUUUUAUCUAUACUUGUAUAGUAGCCCAAUUCAUACUAAAAACAGUAAAAAUUUACAUGAAUUUUACAAAACCCAUUACCAUUUAUUAUCUUCCAAGGAAACAUGUAUUUUUUUUACAAAACACAUUACCAUUUAUUAUCUUCUCAAGCAACUCUGUGCGGCACCAAGGCCAAACAAUAUUGCUAUCUCAAAGCAGAGAAAACUUUGAGGUGCAAAGACAUUCAGGGGCUUGAUUAAAGUUCUGCAAGUAGGAAGUUUGCCAGGAAUUAGGGCUUUUGUCUACAUGAUUUGAUUCAUUUUUUGCUAUUCCUUUGAUGUUAGUUGCACAUUUCUGAAUUUGAUUCUGCAUCACUAAAAUUCAGUACCCAGAAUUGUGUACAGUAAAAAACUGCAAUAUUUCCUUUUACUCUUUCAAUAUACACUCCCUCCUCUACAUUUUAUUGACUUUGUUCCAGCUCCUCUGGCAUAUUGAGCCCUGCUCUCCUAACUGUGGGUAGUACCUGUGCAUAAAAUAGAACAUGUUCUUCAGUAUAAGAGAAAAGGGAAGAAAAAGGAAAAAGAUGUAAUUUUUAGGGCAAAGUCGGCCCACAUCUUGUGGUUAACUUUAUUUCCUAAUCAAAAUUAUUUUAGAAAUAUUGAAAUGUAUUGUGUUAAGACACAGACACCUAGUUAUUAACAGUUUUGAAUCUUCGGGUAUUAUAUAGAAUGAUUUUACUAUGAUAUCCUAAUUGGAGUUUUUACUUAGUAUUAAAAAAUUCAUUUGGUUGUAUUUUUCCUUUUAAGCAUCUUGUAAAGAUAUCAGGAACUUGAGGCAAUUUACCCCUUAAAUCUCAAAAUGAAAGUUAUUGAUUUCCUUUAAAACUGAAACAUAUGAUUAAGACAGUUUUCCUAUUUUUUUCUUCCUCUGCCAAUUAGCAGUAAUCCAGAUGAAAAGUGUAAAGAAGUGACUAUCAGUUUACAUCCUCAAGAAGGCAGCUGUGUUCAUCCUCAGACUCCACUAACAAGUCAGGAAAACAGCAGGUACCUAUCUACAUACUGAGCUCAAAACAUUGGCAACAACUCAAAUAUCAAAAAUGGAGACAGCAUUUGAAUAGGUUAUGACACUAAGCAGGUCAUCAGUACUAAAGAAGGCAGAAACUACUUCAUGAGCUGGAAAUGCUUUUAUUUAUUUAUUUUGUUCCUGGAUUAUUGCCAUUCCCAGCGAUUUUGUGUGAUGAUUCUGUGGGUGCUAUGCCCAGGCACUGUUUUUUUCAAAGCAUUCCUAGAUUUUUGUGCAUUUGUGCUGUGAACCUUUGAGAAGUAGUCUGUUUUAUUUCUUUUCCUGGUAGAAUCUAAGCAUUUGCAGCCUGUGUGCUCCUCCUAGUCCUCCAGUCUCCUCCAUGUGCAGGGUCUCUUAAGCAUACUCUGGAGACUCACCUUGCCUUUUCCCUGGUUUCUGGCUUUCACUGAAUUCUUGGCCUCCUUUGGCCUCCUUGAGCCUCUCUUAUUUCUGUCCUCUACUGGGGCUAAUUGCCAUCCCUAACCCUUCAUUCCACCUCCUUAAUGCAGCCUUACCACAAAAUGUUGUGUGAUAAAUGUUGGCCCAAAGUUUGGUAUGAAAGGGGAAAUGAUGCCACAACUGAAUCUGUCCUAUGAUGUAAUGAACAGCUAAGCAAAAAAAAUAAAGAAAAGAAAAGAAAAAGCAAAAACUAGCUACUAGAACAGGGAUCUGAAAAUGACAAUCCGUGGGCCAAAUCUAGUUGUGUAUGUAAAUAAAGUUUUAUUGGCACGGCCAUACCCAUUCAUUUAACUGUUAACUGUGACUGCUUACCCAUCUCAACAGCGAGGUCCAACAGCUGCAACAGAGACCAUGUGGCCCACAAAGCAAAAAAAAUUUACUAAUUGGUCCUUCUGUGGAAGAGUUUGCCCACACCUGAACUGUAUCAGACUUGGAGGAAUUUCUCACUGGCUAUUCCUCCACUUUCAGUCUUGGAUUUCCCCCUUUCCCCAGGCCUCUCUCUCAUUAGAUUCUUCUCCAUUUUCCUCAGAUCUUUACUGCAUCCCUGGGGUAUUUUAUUCCAACUCUUGGGCCUCUUGCAAAUUUAAUGCUCCGUCUUUCUGUAUCAUACAGAGCAAUUCAUUUGGUCCUGGCUCGCUCUGGCUAUUCUAGUAAUCCUAAUAUUUCCUAUAUAUAGGUCCUCAGGGUGCAUUCAGAAAUAAUAGUGCCAUAAGCCUUAGGUACCCCUGUAGAAAGCAGAAGUAAAAGCAUCAAAUUGAUUAGUAAAUUUUUUUCUUUAUGUCCUACCUCUUCUUCACAUCAAUGUGCAUUAAACGAACUUGGCAUUUUAUAUACACACAUAUGUCAGAAAUUCUAAAUUAAACAGAGGGCAAUGGAAGAGACCCCAGAAAGAAGUAAGGGUUAGUAAAGGCAUUUUAUAGUCAACCAUAUAGUCAAGACAUAUGUGUAAACAAUUCAAAUUUUUCUAAACAAAAAGCUUAGAAAAUAAAUAAACUUUGUCUUUUCUUCUAUAAUAGAAAUAAAUUUGCCAUGUCCUCUUUUUAUUAUCUGGCUUUCUAGUCACUUUGCUUAUACCUUAUACUUUUUUAAAUUUUUUUUUUAGUUUUAGGUGGACACAAUAACUUCAUUUCAUUUUUAUGUGGUGCUGAGGAUCAAACCCAGUGCCUCAUGCAUGCCAGGCGAGCACUCUACCACUGAGCUACAACCCCCCCAGCCCUAUAUCUUAUACUUGUUUUUCUUUACUAUUUAUGAAAGCAAAUGAGAUAUGCAUUUUAAAAAUUCAGAAUUAGAAGUUUACUGUUUAAAACUUUAGUGAUCAGUUAUUCUGAUCUUUCUCAAAUGGGUGUUCACAAAUGCUUUGGAAUUCAUGGUUAGUUAUACCAAAAAAACGUAGAAGUCAUGAGAUGAAAAUGGCAUGCUGUCCAAGGAUUCCUAUUGUUAUCCCAGUAGCUCCAAGAAAAAAUAGCAUUAUUUCUAUAUUAACAUAAAUAAGCACAUAAGGGAGAAAAAGGCAAAUAAAGAGAGAUUUUGAGAUAAAAUAUGGCAAAAUAUUGUGCUGUCAGGGAUGCUUUAAGCUAUGCCUCCAAGGUUCUCAGGUGAAGCUUUCAUUUUUCCUUUAAUAUCAGGGUGCUAGGACGGAAAAGUUAUACAAAAUGGAUUUUAGGCCAGAUAAGCUGUCACUAAGUAUAAACAGACAAAACAGCAGACCAUGAGAACCAUGAUCAUGUUUACAGAGUUUUUAAAAAUAUAUUCUACAACAUUGCUUAAAAUAUCAUUUGAUUUAGAUUUAUUCCUUCCAUUUUCUGUCUGCAACAUUUUCCAACUAAGUUCCAUUAACUCAGCUCAGAAUUCAUUCACCUAAGAAACUCUUUUUUUUUUUUGAAAGAGAGAGAGAGAGAGAAUGUAUUUUUUAAUAUUUAUUUUUUAGUUUUCGGUGGACACAACAUCUUUGUUUGUAUGUGGUGCUGAAGAUCGAACCCAGGCCGCACACAUGCCAGGCGAGCUCGCUACCACUUGAGCCACAUCCCCAGCCCCCCAAGAAACUCUUAAAGUUAGAAAAAAAUAUAAAAAGUACCUGCAAUAAAUUCCACUCAGUAGUAGAUAGUAUUUUUAAGUUCCUUUGCAUAUUAUUUUACAUUUGCAGGGUGGAUAUCUUGAGAUUGUACUGAUUGUACAAUAGGAAAUCCUGAUUUUUUUUCUCCACCAAUGACAACCAUUUUUCUCCUAUCCUUAAAACUGUACAUAAAUACAUCCCAUAGUAUUUGAUAUUCAAGUACUUUUUGCUUAUUAACUCUGCUAUAAUUCAUUUGAUUGCUCAUUUAUUUUUCAUUUAUCAGCUGUAUAAUGUACCAUAUGUUGUGCUUAUAUUUUUCCAUAGUAAAUCAUUAACUUCUUGUGAGUAGAGAGACCAUUUCUUUUUAAUUUCCCAAAACCUCUGAGUAUACAGUUAAUUAAAUGAAAAGUGGUGAGUAAAUACUUGAAAAUUAGUUUAUCAUAAUUUCCUUUUUCCUCAACUCUUUGCACACCAUUUUUACAUCAAAGUACACCUCCAUUGGAUACAUUGACUGUUGAUCGUCUUUUAAUAGAAAGGUAGGAGUCCUUAAUAAUUUUGUAUCAAGUAUCCUUUUUUAAGAUUGGAAUUUUUUCAAUUUUUCCUUUUUCUUUUCAUUUUUUAACUAAUGCAGAAAGUAAAUUAUACAUGGCAAUGAAGUAUCAUGUAAUGUUUGAUAUAUACGUACAUUAUGUAAUGUUUAAAUCAGGCUUAAACAUAUUUAUCUCCUCAAAUAUUACUCACUUCUUCAUGGUUUAUUCAAAUUUCCCCACAUUUUUUUAAAUUGAUGCCUUGUUUGUACAUACUGAUGGGAUUAAUUGUUCCAUAUUCAUACAUCCACAAUAUAACAAUAUAAUUUGGCCAUAUCACUCCUUGGCACUUUGCCCCUCUUCCCCACCUUUUACUCCUUUGUCUCUUUCUUCUGACCUCCCUUUAAGACUAGAAUUCUGACCAGAGUGUUCCACAGGAGCAAAUUAAUCAUCUAUAAUCCCAGUGGCUUGGGAGGCUGAGACAGGAGGAUCUCGAAUUCAAAGUCAGCCUCAGCAAAAGCAAGAUGCUAAGCGACUCAGUGAGACCCUGUCUCUAAAUAAAAUACCAAAUAGGGCUGGGGAUGUGACUUCGUAGCCAAGUGAUCCCGAGUUCAAUCCCCUACUCUGCCCCCGCCCCGCUAAUUCAAUCAUCUGUAGCCACAUGAUAUAGAUAAGGACUGAGUUAGACAGAGUCUAGCAAGCAUGAAACCUUGCACCCAGGCCAGGUGCUGGGGCAGAGUGAAUGACAUAGAUAAAGAGGCAGACACUAAAGACCUAGCUGUGUGUUGAAGGACAUGAGAAUGUUUGAAGAAGACAUAGGUAGCAGGUGAUGCUGGGAAGCUUUGUGAGACAAAGAAUAACUAUGAGGAAUAGGGUGGCAGUCAUCACUGGGGUCAGGUGACCCAGUGGCCCUCACUAGGCAGUCUGUCCUUUGGUGGCCAGAGAAAAGAGGCUUCAACAUGAACAGGGAAGCAUUUGGGUAUCUUGCUCUGCAUGUCCUACCUCAGUGCAUUCUUGACUGUAAUAAGAGGAGGAGGACCUGCUUGCUGAAGCUGACCCUCCUCCAAGACUACCAGCCACUAUUCACUGCCCCCACCACCACCACCCAUAGUUCCGCUUUUCUGGAACAGGCUCUUUUUAUUUAUUUGUUUAAUUCUGAGAACUCAUUUUGUUUGAGAAAAGAAAAAGGGAAGGUCAAGUUACUCAUUAAUCUCUCUCUUAUCUACUCAAGUCUCCAGUUACACCAUACUUUCUAGAGCCCUACAUAGCAACCACUACAGAGGGAAUAAACGCUUCUAAGAGCUUGAAAUUUAUAUGAGAUGCCAGCAUUCUGAUUAUCAGCAUAUAAGUUCUUGGUGGUUCAGUUUUCCUCUGUUGCUGUCAUCUAAACAAAAAUAUCCUCUAUUUCAGUGUCCCUCCUUGACCAGGUAUUAUAAAGCUGGAGAAAUCUCCAAUUACCUGUUGGCAGGAAAGGAGCCAAUCGACUUCAAGAGAAUAAGAUCAGAGGUUCAUGAACUCUGAAGUGACUUCACAGAGAAGCAAAUGUGUGUACCUGAAGACGCCUAAGCUGUCCCAGGGUCCAGCAAAACUCCACCUCUUAGUCUGCAUUCCUCUCACCCCUCACCCUCUUUCCUGUGCUGAAAGCACACAGCAUCUAGUCAGGGGACAAGACUGUAGAUAUGAAAAACUGUUUCAAUCAUUUAAAGGAAGAAGCUGCUUUCUAGGAGUUCUGGCUUAAAAGUCUGUCAUUUUCCUUUCUUAUUUUAAAAUGUUCAUGAUAUGGAAUGAGCUCAUUAUAGAGAAUUUGGAAAAUACAGAAAGAUAUGAAAAUUAAUGAGACAUGUUAAUAUUAAUGUCACACAUCACAUUAUCUGCCAACCAUUUUCUAUAUAUGUUUCUUUAUACAAACACAUAUAUUUUGAUUUAUUAAAUAGAGCCCUACAUAGCGACCACUACAGAGGGAAUAAACAUAUUCCCUCUGUAUUUUAUAGAGCAGAACCUACUUCUUUAAAUAAAUUGGAGUAAAAUACAUGAUAUAUCAAUUUUCAUCUCCUCUAGGGAAGAAAAGCAAUUUUUUUCUUCACUGGAAAGGUGCUAAAUGAUUGUGGUGGAGAACCGUCAAGACUGCUCAAAAGAAUUAUCUAGAAAAAAAAAAUGGAACUCCAGAUAUUUUCUAAGUUCUGUCUCAAAAACCCACUUUGUAACAUGUUCUGAAUAAAAGAAAAAUUUUAAAAUUAAAUAAUAAUUAUUAUAAAUGUAACUAGUUUACUAGUAUACCCUAGGUUAACUUUAAAAAGCACAACUUUUAAGAAUUUAUUAGUGAACGGGUACUAAGUUACACUCGGGAAGAGUAAACUCUGGUUUUCUAUUUCACAGCAGGGUGACUACAGAUCUAAAAAGCUAGAAGAGGGCUGCCUUGUGGCUCAGUGGUAGAGCACUUGCCUAGCACGUGCAAGGCCCUGGGUUCGAUUCUCAGCACCACAUAGAAAUAAAUAAAUAAAGGUAUUGCGUCCAACUAAAAAAAUAAAUAUUAAAAAAAAAGCUAGAAGAUUUUGAAUGUUUUCACUACAAAGAAAUGAUAAAUGUUUAAGAAGACAUAUAUGUUUACUUUGAUUUGAAUAUUAUACAGUAUGUACAUGUAUCCAAAUAUCACAUGGUACCUCAGAAAUGUGCAGUUUUUGUGUGUCAAUUGCUUUGAAAAGAACUUUAUCAAAUCGAUAAUCAUGCAUUGAGGGCUGGGGUUGUGGCUCAGCGGUAGAGCACUUGCCUAGCACAUGCAAGGCCCUGGGUUCCAUCCUCAGCACCACAUAGAAAUAAAUAAAUAAAAAAAAGGUAAUGUGUCCAACUACAACUAAAAAAUAAAUUUAAAAAAAAAAAUAAUCAUGCAUUAACAUCUUAAAAUCAGUAUCCCUAUACUUUCAGUCAUUCCACAUCUUUAUAGAUCAGAAACUUGUUAUGAUAUUAUUUGCCAUGAUAAUGAUCUCUAGAAACUAUCAGAAUAUUUGUGAAUAUUGAGUAAUAUCUUUGAAUCUAGCUUUCACUAAUUUCUGGGUAAUUCUGUGUUUUAAUCACUCCUUUAAAUUUCUAUUUUACCACAUUUACUUUGACACCAAUAUAGGGAUUAAGGGAGACACCAAUUUGAAUUUCAACUUAAAAUAUUGCAAGAUAGAAAAAAACCCCAGCAUAAGCGAAGUCCACUGACAUAGACAUAUAUAUAUCUGUGUAUGUGUAUGUAUAUGUGUGUGUGUGUAUAUAUAUAUAUAUGUGUGUGUGUAUAUAUAUAUAUAUAUAUGACUAUGUAUAUUGACUACAUACAACUUAUACCAUACACAAAGGGUAAUUGCCUUAUUAUUUAGGAAGUCCUUAAAAAUUAAAAAUGGCUACCAACUCUCCCCACUAAAAGAUGGGCAAAUAACAUAUGGCCAGGUCACCAAGGAAACAAGGGUAACUAGUCUGCAAAUUUUCGAAAUGAUACUCAAUGGUGGGUGUUUGCUCAGUUGGCUCUUUAGUUCUCUAUUAUUUCUUAGAAUUUGAAGAAGAAGAUUUCAAAGGAAGACUAGAAACUAAAUGAGAAUUAGCCUUUCUUAGAAUUACUAUUUUCCAUCACAAGAAAACAAUUCUGUUUUUUUGUUUGUUUUUCCUAAAGUGGAGUGGACCAGUGAGCCAUGGGAUUAUUAAAUAUUUGAUGACUCUGACUUUUUAAUUGCAAGAAAGCCAUGAGUUUUGUUUUUUUUUCUAUUUCAUCAAUUGCCAUGGGGAAUACUACAUAUACUACGAAAAAUGCCUCAUUGCCUAACUUGUAUUGUUAAGUAAUUCUGUUAACCUCUGGCCUUACAUUUUUCAUCUAAAACAGCGGCUGGGCCAAUUACUCUACAAAGCUAUUAAUGUCUGACAUUCUUUGUUUUGUUUACUUAAAAAAAUAGAAUAAAUAUGAGAUGUAAUGUCAUUUAAAUCUAUGACAUUUAAAUAAAAUUUUC